ACCUAUCUGACGAGUUCCAAAUAGGACGAAACGCGCAUCCUAGAU
rfam:Schistosoma mattheei strain Denwood, Zambia genome assembly, scaffold: SMTD_scaffold0015645